GGCCAGACUCCUACGGGAGGCAGCAGUGAGGAAUAUUGGUCAAUGGUCGGGAGACUGAACCAGCCAAGCCGCGUGAGGGAGGAAGGUACAGAGUAUCGUAAACCUCUUUUGUCAGGGAACAAAGGCGGGGACGCGUCCCCGGAUGAGUGUACCUGAAGAAAAAGCAUCGGCUAACUCCGUGCCAGCAGCCGCGGUAAUACGGAGGAUGCGAGCGUUAUCCGGAUUUAUUGGGUUUAAAGGGUGCGCAGGCGGAAGAGCAAGUCAGGGGUAAAAUUGGGGGGCUCAACCUCUUCGAGCCGUUGAAACUGGGUGCCUUGAGUGGGCGAGAAGUACGCGGAAUGCGUGGUGUAGCGGUGAAAUGCAUAGAUAUCACGCAGAACUCCGAUUGCGAAGGCAGCGUACCGGCGCCCAACUGACGCUGAAGCACGAAGGCGUGGGUAUCGAACAGGAUUAGAUACCCGAGUA
rnacentral:rRNA from 1 species